GACGAACGCUGGCGGCGUGCUUAACACAUGCAAGUCGAACGGAAAGGCCCGGCUUUUGUGGGGUGCUCGAUUGCCGAACGGGGGAGUAACACUUGUGUAACCUGCCCUUGACUAUGUGAUAACUUUAGGAAACAGGGGCUAAUACCGGAUAGUAUCUCCUGCUGCAUUGUGGGGGUGGUAAAGUUUCGGCUGUUGGGGAUGGACUCGCGGCUUGUCAGCUUUUCGGUGGGGUAGUGGCUUAACAAGGCUUUGACUGGUAGCCGGCCUGAGAGGGUAACCGGCUAAAUUAGGAUUGAGCUACGGCACAGACUCCUAUGGGAGGCAGCGGUGGGGAAUAUUGCACAAUGGGAGGAAGCCUGAUGCAGCACCGCCACGUGCGGGAUGAGGGGCUUCGGGUAGUAAACCGAUUUCGCCUGUGCCGAAGAGUGAGUGACGGUAAUGGGUAAAGAAGCACCGGCUAACUACGUG
rnacentral:rRNA from 1 species